rnacentral:rRNA from 1 species
GGGGGGGGGGGGGGGGGGGCCUGGCAGGGGCGGGCCGAGCGGUGGAGGGUCUUCGGCAACUUGAGAGGGGCGCACGGGUGCGUCACAGGUGUGCAACCUACCUUGAUCUGGGGGAUAGCCUGUCUAAAGGAGGAAUACUCCCCCCUAAUAUAAUUCUUGGCAUCAAUUAUUAUUACAACCUCCGGUGGCUAGAGAUGGGCACGCGCAAGAGUAGCGAGUUGGUGAGGUAACGGCUCAGCAAGUCAAUGAUCUUUAGGUGUCCUGAGAGGCAGAUCCCCCACACUGGUACUGAGACACGGACCAGACUCCUACGGGAGGCAGCAGUGAGGAAUAUUGGACAAUGGGUGAGAGCCUGAGCCAGCCAUCCCGCGUGAAGGAUGACGGUCCUAUGGAUUGUAAACUUCUUUUGGACAGGGAUAAACCUACCCUCGUGAGGGUAGCUGAAGGUACUGUACGAAUAAGCACCGGCUAACUCCGUG